rnacentral:rRNA from 1 species
GAUGAACGCUAGCGGCAGGCUUAACACAUGCAAGUCGAGGGGUAUAGUUCUUCGGAGCUAGAGACCGGCGCACGGGUGCGUAACGCGUAUGCAAUCUACCUUUUGCAGAGGGAUAGCCCAGAGAAAUUCGGAUUAAUACCUCAUGGUAUGUGAGAAUGGCAUCAUUUUCACAUUAAAGUCACAACGGCAAAAGAUGAGCAUGCGUCCCAUUAGCUAGUUGGUAAGGUAACGGCUUACCAAGGCAACGAUGGGUAGGGGUCCUGAUGGGGAGAUCCCCCACACUGGUACUGAGACACGGACCAGACUCCUACGGGAGGCAGCAGUGAGGAAUAUUGGACAAUGGGCGCAAGCCUGAUCCAGCCAUGCCGCGUGCAGGAUGACGGUCCUAUGGAUUGUAAACUGCUUUUGUACAGGAAGAAACACUGGUUCGUGAACCAGCUUGACGGUACUGUAAGAAUAAGGAUCGGCUAACUCCGUGCCAGCCGCCGCCGUAAUAC